rnacentral:rRNA from 1 species
CUUAGUGGCGGACGGGUGAGUAACGCGUGGGCAACCUGCCCCCGUGCCGGGGGAUACCGCCUGGAAACAGGCGCUAAUACCGCAUAAGCGCAUACAGCCGCAUGGCAGUAUGCGGAAAGCUCCGGCGGCACGGGAUGGGCCCGCGCCCGAUUAGCCAGUUGGCGGGGUAACGGCCCACCAAAGCGACGAUCGGUAGCCGGCCUGAGAGGGCGGACGGCCACAUUGGGACUGAGACACGGCCCAAACUCCUACGGGAGGCAGCAG